AAAAAUGAAGAGAGCUCAGGGCUUAAAGAGUUCCGGCCAGGGGCCGGAUUUCCGGCUUUUGACCAAACGGUCCGCCUCAACCAAACUAGUUUCAAGGCUUUUAA